UCACUUUGGCAGCACAGAUACUAAAAUUGGAACGAUACAGAGAGGACGAGCACGGUCUCUGCACAAGGAUGACACACAAAUUCGUGAAGAAUUCAAAAAAAAA